UUAUAAUGAAGACAACUCUCCGUCUGCCCAUCCGAGCCUGCCCAGCCUGGCACCAAAGCUCAGGAGGGAGAGAAAGAGAGGAGCGAAUUAAAAAAAAAAAGAAGAAAGAUCGAGAGACAGAACGAGACAGGAGAGGAAGAGAGAGCGGCCCAUCACUGUGAUUGACAAUGAUGAGCACUGUCUGCUUCUAUUAAAUCAAUCAAUCAUCGCUAUAGGACUCGAGUCUCGGUUCUCUCAAUAGCCUAACAAGCUCAGGACUUCACUGUUUCUCUUAGCCGUUUACUCUCAUGUCCCCCCCGCAAAGUGAAACAUCUGGUCAGUUUCUCUUAUCUGCUUUAUUUCACGCUUAUGGGGUGUUGUGUGCCAUUUCCGCUGCGUGCCCCCUGCCAAUGGUGUCAUAUUUGGACUGCUGUCUGUGACUUCUCUUUAACACCUCCCUCCGCUGGGAUGUGACAUCCUCACCACAGCGACAGGGCCGGAGGAGGAAGACAGCCGGCGACUCGGCGAGGGGAUGAUCAGAUGCGUGCGGGCCUGUCAGGAGUCUUCAUCGCUCCGUCCAGACUAGGAAUAAGUCAUGCUGCUUGAGUUAUUCAAGAACCGACUAGUCGAUUAUGGAGAUCGACUAGACCUUUUCUUUCUUUCUUUUUUUUUUUUCUGUCCAGCUGAAAGAGACACCAACACAGCUGGUAUUAACCCAGUUUGAAAUUGACCCCACCCCCCCCGCCCUCCUCUGAGAAAGAAAGAGCCUUUCAAAAGCUGGAGGCAGUGCUCCAUUCAAACCGAGCUACAGGAUCAGAGGCUUUGCAGGGUGACCUUUGACCCCACAGUGCCGCAAGGGUUUGCAAAGCAACAAAAGCCAGUUUUACAUCCCUCACAGCCUGACAAGAACAUGACUCGCCUGCUACUUGCUGAAUUGAGAAAAGAGGACCUUGGAUUUCUUUGUGCUGUACAGAAAAAGAUGUAAAAGGAGAAAUCUAUAAACUUCUCAACACAUUUGAGAGACAAGCAGGGUAUAAAAAUAAAAAAAACUGAAUGAAUGAAUGAACGUGUGUGUGUGU